GGACCUGACUGCUAUCGGAUUGAUACUAAGCCAUGCGAGUCAUCGUAGUAAUACAAGGCAGACGGCUCAGUAACGCGUAGUCAACCUACCCUAUGGACGGGGAUAACCUCGGGAAACUGAGAAUAAUACCCGAUAGAACAUUAUGCCUGGAAUGGUUUAUGUUUCAAAUAAUUUAUUGCCGUAGGAUGGGACUGCGGCCUAUCAGUUUGUUGGUGAGGUAAUGGCCCACCAAGACUAUUACAGGUACGGGCUCUGAGAGGAGUAGCCCGGAGAUGGGUACUGAGACACGGACCCAGGCCCUAUGGGGCGCAGCAGGCGAGAAAACUUUGCAAUGUGCGAAAGCACGACAAGGUUAAUCCGAGUGGUUUCUGCUAAAGGAACCUUUUGUCAGUCCUAGAAACACUGAUGAAUAAGGGGUGGGCAAGUUCUGGUGU
rnacentral:rRNA from 1 species